rnacentral:rRNA from 1 species
UACGUAGGGCGCAAGCGUUGUCCGGAAUUAUUGGGCGUAAAGAGCUCGUAGGCGGUCUGUUACGUCCGCUGUGAAAACCCAGGGCUUAACCCUGGGCUUGCAGUGGAUACGGGUAGACUAGAGGCAGGUAGGGGAGAAUGGAAUUCCCGGUGUAGCGGUGAAAUGCGCAGAUAUCGGGAGGAACACCGGUGGCGAAGGCGGUUCUCUGGGCCUGACCUGACGCUGAGGAGCGAAAGCAUGGGGAGCGAACAGG